AUGUAUUUGCAAAGAUCAUUGUAGCAGCAGAAUUCUGAUAAGAGGAAAGAAAAGCCAGAGUGAAGCAGACCAUUAGCAGAUAAUUGUCAUAAUCUUGAUACUAAAUGGAGACCAGAAUUAAGCUGGUGAUUUUAACAUGCAUUAAAAUGAAAGAGUUCAGAAGAAGAGACAGAUGUGUUAAUAAAUGGACAUGUUUGAUUUGAUCAACAUAGUAGAGUUGAUAAUAAAUUUAUUAGAUAUAGGGGCCUUGAAUUAACAGAGAGAUCUGGAAUUAUAGAUUUAGGAAGCUUCAGCCUGUAAAUGGCAGUUGAAGCCAUACUUAUUGCUGAAAUUGCAUACAGUCAGAACACUGAAUACAGAAACUUGAAGAACAACAUCAUUUCAGUCAGGAGUACCAAAAAGAGCUUUUAAGAAAACGGAAGCAGAAAAUGGCGUAGAAGAAGCUGAACCUAAAAUAUUCAUGAAGUCAGAAGGUAAAGGAUCCUUUGAUGUAGUCCAUUCAGAGCAGAAGGAGAAGAAUGCAAAGUGGAUCUGCAGGGACAAAUAGAAGAUGCAGUGCAAUGGAGACACUGUUUAAUGCCACAGGGGACCUGGGCUCCUUUUGUCUCUCCUAUGUAAAGAGAAUUUCCUCCAGCCGAGUAAAACUGAUGGGAUUGGUCAGCCUUCUAGACAACAGAAAUAAAUAAUUCUCUCUGUGAAGAAUGACAAAUAUUCCUAUGACUAUGAAAACCUUUCAAAGAAUUGAAUGAAGCCCAUCCACAAUGGGAAGGCAAUCUGCUUUGUUCAGUCUACUGAUUCAACUGUCAAUCUCAUCCAGAAACACCUUCCCAGAUGCGCCAAGAAUGUUUAAGCAAAUAUCUGGGCACCUC
rnacentral:lncRNA from 1 species